rnacentral:lncRNA from 1 species
GCUGGACGAUGCUGUUACAAAGUGUAUUAGUUGGUAAAGCUCGUGAAAUUUUUUCGCAACUUUCAGUAGAAUUAUCAGCUAAUUAUGAUACGGUAAAGGAACUUAUCCUUAAUGGCUACGAGUUGGUCCCAGAGGCAUACCGCCCAAAAUUUCGAAAACAUAUGUCCAAUUCGCCACACAAAACAUAUGUCCAAUUCGCCCAAGUAAAAGAACAGUUGUUUGACCGAUGGUGCUUAUCUGAGAAAAUCAAUAAAGAAUACAAAAAUUUGCGGGAUUCAAACGUUGCGUUAACCCCGAAGUCCGCACAUUUAUAAAUGAACAAAAACCUGACAGUUUCAUUGCAGCGGCCCGUUUGGCAGACGAUUUCGCGUUGACUCACAAGACCACAUUUGAAAAGAAGUCACAAC